rnacentral:rRNA from 1 species
UACGUAGGCAGCAAGCGUUGUUCGGAUUUACUGGGCGUAAAGGGUGUGUAGGCGGUUCUUUAAGUUUGGUGUGAAAUCUCCCGGCUCAACUGGGAGGGUGCGCCGAAUACUGAGGGACUAGAGUACGGGAGAGGAAAGUGAAAUUCCUGGUGUAGCGGUGAAAUGCGUAGAUAUCAGGAGGAACACCGGUGGUGUAGACGGCUUUCUGGACCGUAACUGACGCUGAGACACGAAAGCGUGGGUAGCAAACAGG